rnacentral:lncRNA from 1 species
CCAGCCAAUCUCAGCCGUCCAAUUUGAUUCAAAUUGUGUGGCGUUCGCCACACCUGCAAUUAGUCCCACAUUUGCAAUGUUUUGUCUCCUAGCUACUAGUAUAAAUAUGUGUCAUUUCUUACACUUUAAAGGACACACCAAUUUAUAACAGUUGAGGAAGAGAAUUGAGACUUAGAUUUAUUCUAAGUUUCUUCUCUUAGUUUAAAUUUUUAUUCGCUGCUGUUGCGCUGUUGGUGUCCGUACUCAAGAUUUCUUUUAUUAAUUCAGGUUCUUUAUUUUAUUUUAUUUUCUUUAUUUUUAUUUAUUUUAUUUUUCUCUUUUUAUUUUAUGUCUUUAUUUUUAUUUAUUUAUUUUAUGUCUUUAUUUUUAGUUAUGUCUAGCUAAAUUUAGCAUUGCUAGGAUGUGUAGUUAGUAGCUAAUAGGGGUUCGGUAGUUGAUUCGUGCAAGUAGUUUUCAACCAUCAGUUUUAAAUAAUACGUUUUCAAACAAUUUGUCACGAGAGUGAGGGUUGUUUUAAAGGCAAUAAACCAACAUUGACGAGAGUUGAGGUUUAGGGCCGGAUAGUUAAAACUGAGCGUUAGUUCUAAAGUCCGCGAGAGCUAUUUAGGAUUGAUGAGUUUUAUAUUGAUUUUCAAAGGUACUUUUAUAGGUAAGUGAACGAAUGAGAGCUGAG